GAUAAACGCUGGCGGCGUGCUUCAGGCAUGCAAGUCGAACGGGUGUCAGCCUUCGGGUUGGCACUAGUGGCGGACGGGUGAGUAACACGUAAGCAAUCUGCCCGGUAGUGGGAAUAACUGGCCGAAGGCUGGCUAAUACCGCAUGUGAUGGUUCGUCCCUCGGAUGGAUCAUGAAAGGACGCAAGCCGCUACCGGAGGAGCUUGCGGUCGAUUAGCUAGUUGGNGAGGUAA
rnacentral:rRNA from 1 species